rnacentral:rRNA from 1 species
CCUACGGGAGGCAGCAGUGGGGAAUAUUGGGCAAUGGGGGAAACCCUGACCCAGCAACGCCGCGUGAAGGAAGAAGGCCUUCGGGUUGUAAACUUCUUUUAGCAGGGACGAAUACGUGACGGUACCUGCAGAAAAAGCAACGGCUAACUACGUGCCAGCAGCCGCGGUAAU